UAAAUUUUAGACUUCCUUACAAAAUCUCUUUCAAAAGUUUUUGCAGAAAAGAUCCUCAUUCCCUGUGGAUUCGUUCCUAAGUACUUCGACUGAUUAGUUGUGCACUUGCAGCUGUCGUUGUUUCAAUUAGGGUAAAACUUGUUCCCCACACCACACACACAUCAACCACUUGGACCUACUUUUUCUAAUCCUCGGACUCAUCAUCAUCGAACUCACAUGAAAAAUAAGAGAGAGGUGAGUAAUUGGAGAAUCACACAGUGAGAAAUAAACUUACACCAUCACCACAUCUAUCCAUCAUUCCCAACAUGUCAAGCUAAAUGUAAACAAGAAAAAAAACAGUACUCUACAAGCACACAAACAAUUCACAAACACGGGAAACCCACCGAGCCCGAAGCUCAUAUCACAUUUCAUUUCAUUUUCUUAUUUAAUCACAUAGACAGGCUCGUAGUUCGCCAUAACCACCUGAUGAUGAGAACCAACCUGCACUUCAAGUUUGAUCCCCAGCAUACAAUAUCCGUACCACCGUGUCCCUUCAAAGUGAUGAUCACCUAUCUCGAACUAACUAAAUUACAAUCACUAAUCACGCAACGAGUGAUCAAUCAUUCAUGCUGGUUUUUUCGCUAAUGUUUCCUUAUUCUGAAUUCAAUCAAUUCAUGGAUAUAACUUAAUGUAUAAACCAAAACGUUUCCAUACUCCGUAACACGAAGCAACCUGAAUAGAUCUAGACUCGACACACUAAAAACAAUGUAUAAACGCAGAAAUAAGCCUAGAUCUACUCCUCACCUUGACCAUUGUGCAGAUAUGGAUCAAAGCGGACGAGUAACAAAGGUAUCGAGCAAAAAAUAAGAAAGCUGUCGGUGACUUUUUCUCUUUCCGGCGGUGGUGACGCAGCGCACAGCAGUGGCGGUGGCGACGGCAGUGGACAGCAGCGGCUGGUCAAACUGCGGCUGGCGGCAGCGACUGGUCGGUGAUAGAAGCUCUCUCAUGUCUCAGAAAUCUCUCUCUCUCUCUCUCUCUCUCUCUCUCUCUCUCUCUGGGUGGCUGCAAAUGAGAAU
rnacentral:lncRNA from 1 species